CCUACGGGGAGCAGCAGUGAGGAAUAUUGGUCAAUGGCCGCAGGCCUGAACCAGCCAAGUCGCGUGAGGGAUGACGGUCCUACGGAUUGUAAACCGCUUUUGUCAGGGAGUAACGCGCCCCACGUGUGGCGCUUUGCGAGUACCUUAAGAAUAAGCAUCGGCUAACUCCGUGCCAGCAGCCGCGGUAAUACGGAGGGUGCGAGCGUUAUCCGGAUUUAUUGGGUUUAAAGGGUGCGCAGGCGGAAUGUCAAGUCUGCGGUAAAAUUUCGGGGCUCAACCCCGUCGUGCCGUUGAAACUGGCGUUCUUGAGUGCGCGAGAAGCAUGCGGAAUGCGUGGUGUAGCGGUGAAAUGCAUAGAUAUGACGAAGAACCCCGAUUGCGAAGGCAGCAUACCGGAGCUGAACUGACGCUCAUGCACGAAAGCGUGGGUAUCGAACAGGAUUAGAUACCCUUGUAGUC
rnacentral:rRNA from 1 species